rnacentral:misc_RNA from 1 species
GAUGAAGAACGUAGCGAACUGCGAUAAGUAAUGUGAAUUGCAGAAUUCAGUGAAUCAUCGAGUCUUUGAACGCACAUUGCGCCCCCUGGCAUUCCGGGGGGCAUGCCUGUCCGAGCGUCAUUGCUGCCCUUCAAGCCCGGCUUGUGUGUUGGGUCGUCGUCCCCCCCGGGGGACGGGCCCGAAAGGCAGCGGCGGCACCGCGUCCGGUCCUCGAGCGUAUGGGGCUUUGUCACCCGCUCGAUUAGGGCCGGCCGGGCGCCAGCCGGCGUCUCCAACCUUUUAUUUUACCAGGUUGACCUCGGAUCAGGUAGGGAUACCCGCUGAACUUAAGCAUAUCAAUAAGCGGAGG